rnacentral:rRNA from 1 species
CCUACGGGAGGCAGCAGUGGGGAAUAUUGGGCAAUGGGCGCAAGCCUGACCCAGCAACGCCGCGUGAAGGAAGAAGGCUUUCGGGUUGUAAACUUCUGUUGUCAGGGAAGAGGAGAAGACGGUACCUGACGAAUAAGCCACGGCUAACUCCGGGCCAGCAGCCGCGGUAAUACGUAGGUGGCAAGCGUUGUCCGGAUUUACUGGGUGUAAAGGGCGUGUAGCCGGGUUGACAAGUCAGAUGGGAAAUCCUGCGGCUUAACCGCAGAACUGCAUUUGAAACUGUUGAUCUUGCGUACUGGAGAGGCAGACGUACUUCCUCGUGUCGCGGUGAACUGCGUCGCUCUUAGUAGGAACACCAGUGGC